CAGCCGCCGCGGUAAUUCGAAGGGGGCUAGCGUCGUUCGGAAUUACUGGGCGUAAAGCGCACGUAGGCGGAUAUUUAAGUCAGGGGUGAAAUCCCAGAGCUCAACUCUGGAACUGCCUUUGAUACUGGGUAUCUUGAGUAUGGAAGAGGUGAGUGGAAUUCCGAGUGUAGAGGUGAAAUUCGUAGAUAUUCGGAGGAACACCAGUGGCGAAGGCGGCUCACUGGUCCAUUACUGACGCUGAGGUGCGAAAGCGUGGGGAGCAAAUGGGAUUAGAUACCCCUGUAGUCCCUGUCUCUUAUAC
rnacentral:rRNA from 1 species